GGACUUGUAACCGUCACUUCUGUCUUGAGUAGUUAAAAGAUAGAACGGUCUAGUCAAGUGCCAUGUCUCUUAUUCUUGAUCAGCUAUAGCUCUAGAGUUUUUUUGCAGAUUUUCAAAUAAAACUCAGAGAUUCCUUGUAUGACUCUCUCGGAUCUCUCUUUUGUGGUAUUUCUAGAUCCUUACCAAGGUAGUGAUGGUAUAUGCCUUCUCUCAAAAUAUGUGGUAUUUAUGGUAUAAGGCAUAGUGACAUUGCCUUCUGUGUCACCCUAUUCUAUUACGGCUUUAAUAUCUGGAGCUCAUAGGUGGGAGAUAAAGUGUACAUACUUACAAGACAUUUAUUGCAUAGUCAAACCAUGGAUCCAAAGAAACAAAUCAAUAAGUCAAAUCAAGAUGUGCAUGUUUGGCGAAUGAAUGGCGUAUGGUGAUGAUGGUGAUAACAAAUGUGAAAGUCUAAUUCUACUUUUGCUCUUUGAUGGGAUACAUACCUUUCUUGCUUUUUGAAACUUUGUGAGGAGAAUGAGAUGCUCUGUAUUUUCUUUUUUUCCUCUCAGGUGGGUAUCUUGUACCCCUAAUUCUACUGUCGGACACUUGUCCAUUUUUACUUCUCGUCUCACUUUUUCUUUUCUUUCGAGGUUCCGGGCACUUGCCCCUUUUUAUUUCCUCGUAUCUCUCUUUUUUUUAGAGCACUCAUCUCUUGAGAUAAUAUAGCAAGUGGUAGUAACCAGAUAACUUGAGCAUUUAUUUCACAAUGGAAAAACAGAAAUAUUUUUGGCCAUUCUCUCUCGGAUUAGGAGUAGAAUAUUUUUGGGUGGUUCUGGAGAUGGAAAUGAGUGGGUAUAUGUGGAUGGUACUUCCGGAGUAGAAGCAGCAUGUGUGAGUGAACGUGCAAGUGAAUCUUGAUUUAACCACAUGACAAGCUCCUAAGGGUCUACACAGCUUGACCACACUCAAUGCUCAUAAGUAGUAAAAAGUAAAUGUGUGGCUCAAAGUCUAGCAAGCAUGUAUAUAUGGCUGUGGUAGGAAUUUAAACUCUCAUCAUAGAGGAACUCAUCAUGCAAUAUUUAAAGAUUUUCAAAGAUAAAAUUCUCCAGAAUUCUAUCAUCUCUAGGAACAGAUAAACAGCAGCUCAACCUUCCCAUAUUGUAUCCGUUAACAACUUAGACUUC
rnacentral:lncRNA from 1 species